rnacentral:rRNA from 1 species
CCUACGGGUGGCAGCAGUGAGGAAUAUUGGUCAAUGGGCGAGAGCCUGAACCAGCCAAGUCGCGUGAGGGAGGACGGCCCUACGGGUUGUAAACCUCUUUUGCCGGGGGACAAACGGCGGCACGCGUGCCGUCCUGAGGGUACCCGGAGAAAAAGCAUCGGCUAACUCCGUGCCAGCAGCCGCGGUAAUACGGAGGAUGCGAGCGUUAUCCGGAUUUAUUGGGUUUAAAGGGAGCGUAGAUGGGUUGUUAAGUCAGUUGUGAAAGUUUGCGGCUCAACCGUAAAAUUGCAAUUGAUACUGGCAGUCUUGAGUACAGUUGAGGUAGGCGGAAUUCGUGGUGUAGCGGUGAAAUGCUUAGAUAUCACGAAGAACCCCGAUUGCGAAGGCAGCUUACUAAACUGUGACUGACAUUGAUGCUCGAAAGUGUGGGUAUCAAACAGGAUUAGAUACCCCUGUAGUC